rfam:Brassica rapa chromosome A6, whole genome shotgun sequence.
ACACUUUGCCAAGUUGUUGAAUUCUCAGAAAAAAUCUGAGUAUUAUGAUUCACUUGUAUAGGAAGAUCUGAUGA